rnacentral:rRNA from 1 species
CAGUCGCCGCGGUAAUACGUAGGGUGCGAGCGUUAAUCGGAAUUACUGGGCGUAAAGCGUGCGCAGGCGGUUAUAUAAGUCAGAUGUGAAAUCCCCGGGCUCAACCUGGGAACUGCAUUUGAGACUGUAUGGCUAGAGUGUGUCAGAGGGGGGUAGAAUUCCACGUGUAGCAGUGAAAUGCGUAGAGAUCGGGAGGAACAUCAGUGGCGAAGGCGGCCAUCUGGGACAACACUGACGCUGAAGCACGAAAGCGUGGGGAGCAAACAGGAUUAGAUACCCCCGUAGUCCCUGUCUCUUAUAC